CACGUAGGGGGCAAGCGUUGUCCGGAUUUAUUGGGCGUAAAGAGCUCGUAGGCGGUUCGGUAAGUCAGGUGUGAAAACUCAGGGCUCAACCCUGAGACUGCACCUGAUACUGCUGUGACUAGAGUCCGGUAGAGGAGUGUGGAAUUCCUGGUGUAGCGGUGAAAUGCGCAGAUAUCAGGAGGAACACCAGCGGCGAAGGCGGCACUCUGGGCCGGAACUGACGCUGAGGAGCGAAAGCGUGGGUAGCAAACAGG
rnacentral:misc_RNA from 1 species